GCAUAGUUUUCAGAAAAUACAUUCACAGAAAGCUUGGCCUCUUCAAUUGUUCUCAGAAGUGAUGCCGAGAUCUCAUCUCCUCUCACAAGCUGAUAAUCUAUGAAAGUCAGGAUUUGUUUCCGGUUCAAAGCGGCAUAGAGGUGGCUGGUAAAAUCAAAACGAGUGUCUUCGCCUCUGAAACUAAGGAAGACAUCAUAUUUCAUUCCUUGUGGCUGGGCGGUGGUUAAGGUGGAAGGAGUAGAUGGCGAUGGAGAUAGAUGAUGGUUUCGUAAGAUGAAUCUCCAGAUAUAAACAAACAAAAAGAUAGAGAGAAACAAGAAAAACACCGCCGUUGUUUUGUGGAGAAACAGACGAAGAAACAAGAGUAAGACUCUGGUGGCAGGGUAAGUAUGUAGGGAGAGAACAGAAGCAACUCAAAGAAAAAAGAUGUUGACUUCCUGGAAAUUUCCGGUCUUGUUCAUUGUUAAUAAUCUUUCGUUAAAUAAUGUUUUUAUAGAGGAGGCUCGAUCAUUGGUUGAUUUUCUUUGAUAAGCACAACUUUGGUGGGCCAUCUACGCGAUUCGGGUGAUCUUACAUGAUAAUAUCGGCAUCCCUUCAAUCAACCAACAAAGGAAGGAGCUCUAUGGGAUGAAUUUGAAAAGAUGGUGGGUUGCAGAGGCGCAAGGGUUUCUCCACUAAUGGAGGGAGACACAUGUGAGGAGGGUAAAGCUAAGGGGCCUCUCCCUGUUUUGACAAACUACACUAGGACCCACCCCUCGAUGGGGUACAAUGGGACCGCAUGUGCAAAUUUGUUGGAAAGAGUUUUAAGCAGCUUAGCUAGAGUGGGUAGGGUGGUGAAAGAAUUGUCCAAUCAUACUUUCACCAUCUUCUUCCCUCGCUAACAACUGUCCUCUCUACGAAGGUUUCCUUUUUCCUCCUCCUUUGUUAAUGGGUGAUUGAAGGGAUGCCGAUCCUAUAAAAACACUUUGGGGCCUUAAUCAUGCUUACUUUGUUGGUUGAUUGAAGGGAUGCCGAUAUUAUCAUGUAAGAUCACCCGAAUCGCGUAGAUGGCCCACCAAAGUUGUGCUUAUCAAAGAAAAUCAACCAAUGAUCGAGCCUCCUCUGUAAAAACAUUAUUUAACGAAAGAUUAGUUGUGCCAGUUCUUGUCAUUAAAAGCAAUACAGUCUUUUCAUGUGAUCUAUUAUCAUUGUCAUAUUAAAUAAGAACAAAUCAGUUUUUAAAGUAUUAAUGCUGCAUCAUCUAAUUGCGAAUGACACAACAAUCAGCAAUGAAUAUUUUCUCAAGUACAAGGACAGGAACAUCAUGACGCAGAUGCUCCAGAUUCUCACACAUUUGAAAAUGUAUGAAGCCCUUUUAACAGUUAAUCUGCAUUACAGGAAAGUGAGCUCAGAAUAGGAAAAAGAUGUGAAUUUAAGAAGAAGCGCAGCCUAUCAUACUAGACUGAGCAAUAUUAAGCUGUACAACAAGAAAUGAUCAUCUCAUAGCAUUGUCUGGAGCAUUCAAGUAGAAGAAUAACCGAAAUCAACUAAACAAGAUGAAAGACAUUGCGCCAACCCAUUUAAUCAAACAGGCAAAUAGAAGCAGCCAUACAAGAGCUUCAUUAGCUUCAUUACCUAUAACGUAAACCGUGUGUGGGAGAAACACUGUGAGAAAGCUUCAUGCAAACUAAAGACUGAUCCAUCAGCUUUCUCCUUCUUUAAUUCAAAAUUCGCAAAAAGUGAACAGAUAACUCUCUCAUUGUGAAGUUAUCUCCUGCCUAAAAUAGAUGUUUAGCAAUUAAGAAUCAAAAGCUAUAUAACUUAUAGAAGUAAUACAAAUGUAAUAAGAAAAAGAAAAAAACUUACUUCACAAGGUCAACAUUAAGACCCAAUCUUCUAGCAUCGCUCUUGGCUACCAAAAAGAAAAGCAAAAAUGUUAAAAUAAUUAAGCAACUUUCAAUAUUCAAGCCAUUGCAAAAGCUAAGCUAACUAAUCAACAUAUAUAUCUUCCCCUAAUAGCAAAGCUAAAAAUUAAGCAUGAUUAGUGCUUCAGUGACGAAAGGGAACGAACUUUGUUUCGUUUCUAGGUUUAUAGACUGGAUUCAGUCAGCAUUACGACAUAAUCAAAAGGAAGGAGUGAAGUUUGGUUACCGGAAUGGACUAAAUCCAGUUAUUUUACUUGAUGAUAUAUAGGCAGUAGUAUAAUUAGUCCUAUCAAUAAUGUUGGUCUAAACCCAAUAUAAUGGUUAUUACUAUUUCAUUGGGAAGAACUUGUUGUGCAUAGCUUUCGAACCUGUAUAAAGUGUUGAGUGGAUAUCGCCAAACAACCACAAUUACAAUAACACUAUCCAUCAAUAGCCGGUCACCUUAAUUCGUCAUUGAUGCCUUUUCUUUUGACGUCCGGACAUCCUUAUUCCUUAAAGUUGACAUAAUCUAUUAUUAAGUUAUUAAGAUGGUGAUUAAUAUUACCGUUGUAAUUAUUUUUAAAAAAGAAUUUUUUAUUUUAAAAUAUAUUAAAAUAUUUUUUUUAUUUUUAAAAUUUACUUUUAAUAUUAACAUAUUAAAAUGAUUAAAAAAUAUUUUAAAAAAAUUAAUUUAAAGUAUAAAAAAAUUCAAAGUGCAGUUUAACUAUAAAAAUAAACAAUAUCUAGGUUAAUUUAUGGGGUUGCUGAAUCAAUUUUAAUUAAUUAUUUUUAUAAAAAUAAUAUUUUUUUAGAAUUAAUCAAAAUAAAUCAAUUAUGUUAUUAUAAAUUUAAUCUGAUGAAUAAAAUUUUACCAAAUUAAUAUUUUUACCUUUUCAAAUAAAAACUUAACUCGCUUAAAGCUUCUCAUCACGGAUUUUCAAUUCAACCCACUAAGAAAAGUGGGGUUUAAUAACUAUAAUAAAUACAUUUCUAUUAUGCAACCAAAACUUCAACGUCUUCUUGAACCAGCCUGGAAAAUCAAGUCCUCCUGUCAUGAUUUUAAAUACACUUCUCUCAGUGGCAUGACCUUGUAAACUAUUUUGUUUCUGAAUUUUUUUUUCUUAACAUGAAAGACAUGAGGACAUCUCCCCUUUUUCCCUAAUAUCUCCGUCACCUCAUAAGAUUAAUCUCUGUAACCGAGAGCCUGUAGUUUUCACGUUAAGUGACUAUCAUGCUAUAAGCGUAGAUCGAGUGGAGAGAAAUGCAGACACAGGGUUAGCUAUGGCAACACAAGAGGGACAUUUUCAGGACUUCGUAUUGUAUCAUGUGAUCAGAAUACACACUCUGCAGACAUUUUUAACUGCCAUCUAUGUUAACAUGUCUAUGGAGGAUAGAGAUCCCAACCAAAUGGGAAAAAUUGAAUUCUACAGAAACGAAGAAUUGCUGUGUUCUUACAGAAUUUAUCAAGGCCUUUUGACAACUUCACAGUUGCUCCAUUCAGAAGCCAACGCUUUUUAGAAUCCUAGUCUAUUUGGUAGGAGGAAAUUACCAGAGGAAAAUGUAAAACAACAGGGGUAGCAAAACGAAGGAAAAGUUCUUGGUCAAAAACAAGAACAGAGAAGAAGGGAAGCCAAAAAUCCAAUGGCCGCACUCUAUUUCCUGUCUCAUAGAGUAGAAAGAACAUGAAAGAGAAGAAAAAAACCUAGAAGAAGAUUUUUCAACUUGAAAGAUAUUGUGUGAGUUUCAUAACUUGCAUAUCAUUUACUUGUGAUGCAAAGACUAAGCAGAUAAUUACCCAUAUCAAGUCUUUUCUCUUGAAACUCAGAGGACUUGAUCCACCAUUGGAACAUGGACUCAUGAUAGGAACUGGCUUGAGAAGGAAACCAGAAGGCCGAGAAGGCACCAAACCAUGAAUUGGAUUUAAUACACAACUAAAUUGAGUACUUUAUGAGCUGAUUGAGAGAGAUCUUGGCACCAAACCAUGAAUCUGAUAUUUUCAUUCCAGAAAUGUUUCCAACACAAGUUUUGAGGUAAAAUAGAAUGACAAGACACAUGAGCAGAUUUAUAUUCAAUCUAUGCUAUUCUUUUCAUGGAUUGAAAAUUAUAAUUACAAGUAUUUUCUGGAAGUGCUUGAUUUUCUUGUGCAAGAUCUAAGAUUUUCACAAUAUACUUCUGAGCUGUGACAACUUGGCAUCAUUUCAGGAGGCUGAAGCAAUUCUAGAAGAUAUCAGAUUUUCUCCAGUGCAAACACUUGGGUAUGGUGUGGUAAGAAAUCAGAUUGCUUUUUGUGAUACUGCACUAUGAUUAGUCUAUUUCAAUCAUUUCUGCUCUUUUGGAUUUCUUUUCCCCAACUAAAGCCAUCUUUUUUUUAAAAAGGAUAUCUUGUAUCUAGAGAGACGUGUUUAUGGGAUGGGAAUGAUCUUUUUAUUUUGUAGCAAGGACAUAAAAUAAUUACAGGUUGAUUUCUCUUUGUUUUGAAUGCAUGCUUCUGUAUGGUCUAGAGACAUGCUUCCACAAAGAUGUGUAUAUAAUUAACUAGAAUUACUCAUGUUGUUUACAUCAGGUCUUUAUUAAUCAUCAAUCCAUGAUUGAGAAAUAUCUAUUGCGUACCAUGCAAAUGUCCAUUGCAUCCUUUACUUACACUAUAUUUAUGCUGUGGACAGGGUUUUGUUACAGCAUCAUAUACAUUGCUAGGUUUGUACACUUUCUUCCUCAUGAACAGGCUCUCUAUUACUUUUCAAGAACGACUCCCCAAAAUGUUGUGGAGUUUGAAAUGCUUCAGCUGUAUUAUAUAGAACCAAUGAUAAAAAUUCUGGUUUUCUUUAUUUUUUUUUCUUUUUUGUUGCUUUCCUCACAUUCUUCUUGCCAACCAAGCUUGAACUUUGUUUCAGAGUGGGAGAAGACCUUACAAUUUAUUGCCAUCAGUAGCUUCAGUCAGGUAUACUUUUAUUUGUUAUAGUGCCCUGGUUAAUGUUCCUUUUACACGCACAUAGAUGUUGAUUUCUAAGCUGAUAAUGAGUAAAACAAACUUCACACAUUCUCAUAUUGUGCUAGUACUUAGAUCUCCUUUGUCUAUUUUGCAUUGCUAAAUUUAGUUAAGUGAACAUUGAGUUUCUCUAAUUAUUGGUUUCUCACACUCUGCCAGGCUAUUGAUCAGCGGGUUGCUUCUUACAAUGGCCCUGAAGAUUUUAAGCAAGAUGUGAGGUAUAAAAUAGUUUGCUUAGGCUAGUUUUGAGUUUAUUUGAAAGAGUUAUAAAAUGUACAAUAACAAAAUCUUGAAUUUAAAGUUUUUAUGUACUUACUGUUUUUCUUGAAUAAAUGCGCUAGAUGGUUGUUAUAGUUAGUUGAGGAAUUAGUUGAAUAACAGAAAGUUCGUUAGUCAGUUGCAAGGGAAGAACAAUAUUUACAGCUAUCUUGAAAACCAAGUAAUAAUUGAAGAUCAAUUUGCAGUAAUUACAGAACUCUCUCUCCCUUUCUAUUUUCUUUUAUAUCUCCCAAAAUUUUCUUUUGAACUUUUUGUCCGCUGGUAUAUUUUCAUCAAAGUGCAAAUACACCCCCCAGCUUUUCAACUCCAAAGGCCUUCGGAUCUCAUGACCUACCUCCCUCCCACAAUACACUCCAAGGUUGCAGAAAUUAAAUGUAACUUCAUUGCCAGAAUAUUUACGUAAAUGAUUUCCCAAUUUGAGCUCGUAGUGUAGAAUCAUGUGAUAUGAGUCACAUGACACCAAGACAUCUGUUGGAAUCUGUUCUUCCCAGAAAGCAAAGACGUCGACUUCAUAAUGCUUAUCGUUUUUACCCUUAACAUGGUAAUCACAAUAUACCUUAUGGAAGGGAAGAGGGCCUAGAAAGACAAGGCAGAAAGCAAUUCCCUUGAGCUGAUGACAAUUUGAGGGCAACUGUAUGGUGACUGAAGAUCCAAUUCCUUUGUCACCGAACCAUUCUGGAAUUUCACUCCCCGGUAGAACCAUUUGAAUACUGCCAUCUGGGAUCUUCUCUCCGGACUGUAACACAAGAGUCACAUUUCGAAAAUGUGAUGAAGCAAGCGAGAGAGAGAGAAGAAAGAAAGACAAGGGGGUUUAGAGAGAUACCUGAAUUUUCAAAUGCAUUACUGCUACCAGUGGUUUCUGAUCCAAUUUGAAGCAAUUUGUAAAAUCCAAUUGAUCAUGCCAUAAUCUACCGAUAUUUAUGAUUGAUAUUGCGGUUUCUAGUGAUGCACAAUCAUUUGUACGUAGACGCCUCAGCGAAGGGGGGAGCUCAGGUAACGUUUUAAUAGACGUUCCAUCUAAAUAUAGAGUUGUCAAAGAUAUCAUAUGCUUAAAUGAUAUCAAAGGUAUCUCUUUAAUGCCUGUUUUACUCAAGUCAAGAGCCCGCAAAGAUUUCAUAGGCACUGUGAUUUCUGGGAAGCUCUCAAGUUUUGAGCAACCACUCAUAUCCAACUUUUGGAGUCUUUUGAGAAGCUGGAUUGAUGAGGGCACCUCUUUAAUAGCAGUUCCCCUUAGAUUUAACCGCUCUAUAUCCUCUAAAUUCUCUGGAAACUUGGUCAUCUUUGAGCAACCAUCUAGAUUAAGACGUUCCAACUUGCCAGUAACUGAUUGUGGAACUUCUUUGAUUGAAGUUUGGUCCAACUGUAACCAUUCCAUAUUUUGUGAAAUCGUUGGACACGUGGUCACAUCUAGGCACCGACUUAUUAAAAGGUCUCUGAGAACCUUUGAAUCAAGCAUUGGAAAACUUCUAAGAUUAUAGCAACCACGGAGAUCAAUUUCUUCCAGCUUGUCAAGAUAUUGAAGAGAUGACGGAACCUCGGUUAAGCUUGGACAGUCCUCUAGUCUUAAGCGCUCUAAAUUUUUGGCCAUUGAUAGAUCUGGCAAUUCCGUCAAAUAUGGAGACUCAGAUAGGUCGAUUGUUCUUAAAUUUCCAACAUCCUGUCAACAGAAAAAGGCAUAAUUAGAAAGUUAGCAAUUAAAUCUGUAGCAAUUAAAUCUGUAGCAAUUAAAUCAUACCUUUACUCCUAUCCAAAGUUUUACAAGCUUGCUUUUGCGUAGGUGAAGCUCGACAAGGUGUUCAACAGGAAAAGAUGGCGGCAAGGAUUUCAAAGGGAAUCCAUCCCAUAGCACAUAUCUCAGCUCUUUAUGAGGAAGGUCCAUUGUAAAUUCAUCAGUGGAGGCAUUAGAUUCCAAGUUUAUGUUUCUCGAUAACUCGUCAUUGUCUAAUAUUCUUGUUGUUUCUUGGUCGUGCAUCCAUCCUUCGAAGAAAUGUGCUAUGUCAAGAAAUAUGGAUUUUUGUUCUGAAUCCAACCCAUCGUAACUAAUUCUCAACGCCCUUUCGAUUUGAGGGUUCUGGGCUAGUUUAUUCAAUGCACUCUGCCAUUCUUCGAUGCUUUUACCAUCAAGAGAGGAACCCAAAACUUUAAGAGCCAACGGAUUGCCUUGUACAUGCCUUACAAUCUGUGCUAUCAAGUCUCUCUGAUCAGUUGUGGGGAUGCAAUUCUUCAAGGCUUUCGAUCUAAAGAGUUGAAUAGCGUCUUUAUAGUUCAACCCCUCAACCUCGUAUGUCUCAUCAACUACAUUACUAAGCACUUGCUUGUCCCUACUGGUUAUGAGAACUUUACUGCCCGGACCAAAUGAAUUGUUUCGUCCAUCAAGCAAAUCUUUCCAUUCUUCAAAACGCAUUAAAUCAUCCACAUCAUCCAGAACAAUAAAAACCUUCAUACGACGAAGUCUAUCCCUCACAAAAGAAUCUCGAAAACUCAAGUAGCCUAUAGUGUUCGGAGUUUCUUGGCCAAGCAGCUGUUUAAGAAAUUUUCUUCGUAAAUCAGAUUGUUGCCUAAAGUUUUCAAAAAAGAUUGCUUCAAAUCGAGAACAAACCUUGCUGCACACAGCUUCAGCAAUCGUUGUCUUACCGAUACCACCCAUUCCCCAUAUCCCUAUAAUGAGAACAUCUAGAGAAUUUAUAUUUAACAAAGACUCAACUUUGCUAACACGAACAUCAAUUCCAAUUAGACCAGCCGUAGUGUGACUUGAUCCGGAGGAAGACGUGGCAUGCAAUUUUUCCAAAACAUCUCCAACGAUUUUCUCAAUAAAUUCAGACUCCAGCCUGACAAACAACCACUUAAAGCCUUAAUAUUUAUACAAGCAUUUCGUUACAAAUAAUAUUUUUUUUCAAAAUUAUUUUUAAUAUAAACAUAUUAAAAUAAUUUAAAAUACUAAAAAAAUUAAUUUAAAAUAAAAAAAUUUAAAGUUUUUACAAAACAUUUUAAAACACAAAACAAACAACCACUUAAUAACUAUACAAACAUUUUACAUUAAAUAAUAAUAUUUUAUUUUUUAAAAUAUUUUUUAAUAUAAACACAAAUAAUAUAAAAACACUAAAAAAAAUAAUUGAAAAAAAAACAAUUUGAAAACACAAAACAACCAACCACAUAAUAUCUAUACAAGUGCUUUGCUAUAACAUUUUCAAAAUCAAAUAAAAUAAAUAUGAAAUAAAUAUGAAUUCACAGAGCUCAUCAUUCUCAAUAAUUUUAAAUUAAAUCUCAAAUCCUCAACAAAUGAACGAAUAUUUUCUCAUGGGAUAUAUUUCAAGAGCUUACUCAGAAUUCCCUAAGCUCCAUCCAGAUAGAUUGGCUGCAUCCGUCAAAGCGUCUCUGAAGCUCUGCUCUCUGUCCAUCGUCAAAGCUUUCUCCUCUAUCAAUCUAGCCAAUGCAUCCCCAAAGCUUCCUGUUUGAUGUCUUACAUGGGUUGGAUCCACCUUGUAGAAUACCGGAAUAACUAUCUGUCCAUUGUUUUUUCUACACUCAAAAAUCUUUACAAGCUCCUCCAAGCACCAUUUGGAAGAUGCAUAGUUUUCAGAAAAAACAAUCAAAGAAAGCUUGGCCUCUUCAAUUGUUCUCAGAAGUGAUGCCGAGAUCUCAUCUCCUCUCACAAGCUGAUUAUCUAUGAAAGUUAGGAUGUGUUUCUGUUUCAAAGCAGUAUGGAGGUGGCUGGUAAAACCAAAACGAGUGUCUUCUCCCCUGAAACUAAGGAAGACAUCAUAUUUAAUUACUUGUGGCUGGGCGGUGGUUAAGGUGGAAAGAGUAGAUGGCGAUGGAAACAUUGGGGUUUCGUAUGAUGAAUCUCCAGAUAUAAGCAAACACUUUGAAGAAACAAGACAUCAAAUCCAAUAAUGGAAAUUUUCUUAGGCUUUACGUGUUUAAGACCCUGGCUUAGGCAUAUUUAUAAUUACAAUAAUGGGGGCAUCAAAUCCAAGAAUUUUCUUAGAAGAUUACAAGAUUGCACAUUGUUGAUUUCCUGGAAAUUCCCCAGUUACAAAGUGAUUUGAUAGGAAAAGGCAUUUAGACGUUGUUUUGUUUUUAUGGUAUUGACAGUGUUUUUAUAAAUUUUGAUCUUUUUUAUUUUUUAAAAAAUUAUUUUUUUUAUUAUUGUAAUUUACUGAUAUAAAAAUAAUUUUAAAAAAUCAAAAGCAUAUAGAUUCUUGUUUAUCACAUCACAGCUGUGAUAGAUAACUUUUUUCAUAUUUCAAAUGUAUUAGCUGUUCCCUUAGCGGAGUAGCAGAUCUUUUGUUAUUUGAUCGAGUGCAGUAUAACCUUUUUAAUGAAGUUUAUUUGUUAUUAUCGUAUUGAUAGAGAAUAAAUUAUUUUUUUAAUAUUUUAUAAUUAUAAUAGAAUUAUUUAAAUAUUCUUAAAAAUAAAAUAAAAAUUAAAGUAGAUGUUUCAGUCUUUUAAUGUUUUAAUAGCAUAAUAAAAUGAUUACAUUAUUUUUAAAUACAAAAUAAUUAAAAUUGAUGUCCAAGUAUUUUUUUAAUAUUUUUAUCGUAGCUUUUUAGUUAUAAUUAAUAUGAAUUAGAGGUAAUUUAAUAUGUUAUCAAUUAUAAUUAGAGGCAAAUGUAUAAUUAUAAUAUGGGGUUAUCAAAUUCAAGUAUUUUCUCAGGACAUUACAGAGGGUGCACACUGUUGACUCCAUAAAUUUCUCAUGUACAAAAAGCUUGAGGUCUUGUUAUUUGUUUUCCUGUGACUUGGACGGAAAGGGUAUUUAUGCUUUGUUUGUCUUUGCAGUACAAACCAUGUUUUUAUAAUAUUUUUUUAUUUGAGAUUAUUUUUUUUUUGUUAUUUUGGCUUGCUUGAUGUAUUAGUAUAAAAAAUAAAUUUUUUUAAAAAAAUAUAAAAAUUAUUUUAAUAUAUUUUCAAUCAAAAAAUACUUUAAAAAAUUACUACUACCAAACUCGUAAACAUCUCCAUAUAUUGGGUCCAAAUGUUUGCGCACAGUGAAGCUUUUUUUGGCUUUACAUUAUAUUAUAAUGGUUAUAUUGAUUUAAUUGAGAAGAAAUUGUUAUAAAUUAAUUUGAUAUUACAGUAACGCUUGGUUUUUAAAAUGUUUUUUACAUAGAAAUAUAUUAAAAUAAUAUAUAUAUUUUUUAUUUUUUAAAAUUUAUUUUUAAUAUCACACAUAUUUUAAUAAUAUAUAAUAAUAUAUAAAAAAAUUAAUUUAAAAUAAAAAAUAAAAUCCACAUAUUUUCUGGAGACGUUACAAGGGUGCGCAUUAUUUACUACGUGGGAAUUUCCUGUGUACAAAAGACUUUAAUGUCUUCGAUCCAAGAAUUUGCUGGCACUUUGUAAUUUGUUGACUUCACAUUAUAUUAUACUGACGAGAUGAAAUGCCAGUAUGCUGCGUGAUUUUAUAAAACAAAUAUAUUUGAUAGUGUUAUAACUAUGAACCAGCACUAGAUGAGCAAUAAAAACUAAAUAUAUAAUAAAAUAAAUAUUUCAUGACGGAAAAAAAAAAGUUGUGUUGGUGAUAAAAAAAACUUAGAGAUUGAAUAAAAUGAUUUGCAAUAAUUUAUAGUGUUUUGUGAAGAAAGAUAUAAUAUUUUUGCCACAUGAUUUAGCUUUUCUGUUAAUAAAAAAAUAAAAAAAAAUUACAAAGCUAAAUUCUCUACCAACUUAAUAUAUAUAUAAAAAAACCUACAAAGAUAAUUUUGUAAGGAAAAAAACCCAUGAGGAAAAACGUUGUAGCAAUUGACAAUGUUUUAUACUAAUUUAUCAAAAACAGUGUUUUCCCCAAUAAAAUAAAAUAAAAAACCAUUUAGAGAAAUAUUGUAGCAAUCCACAGUGUUUUAUGAGAAAAACUAUAACACUUUCCUCAUAUGAUUUAGCUUUAUUGUAAUUAUAAUUCUUAACCAACUCAAUAUUAAAAAAAAAUCAACAAAGAUAAUUUUGAAAAAAAAUCAUAAAAAUAUCAUAUAGGAAAACACUGCAACAAUUCACGGUGUUUUAAAGAAAAAAAUUACAAAACUAAAUUCUUAAUUAGCUCAAUAUUAAAAAAAAAAUCGACAGUGACAAUCUUAGAAAAAAAAAUAACAAAAAAAACACCAAAAAAAAGGGAAAAAUCAUGUUGGAAACAUUGUAGCAAUUCACAAUGUUUUAUGAAGAAAGCUACAGUGUUUCCCCACAUGAUUUAGCCUUAUUUAUAAUGACUUGUAAUUGUAAUUUUCAAACAACUUAAUAUUAAAAAAAAUAAAAUUGACAAAGAUAAUCUGGAAAAAAUUAUAAGAAAGAAAAACCAUGUGAAGAGACACUGCAGUAAUACACAAUGUUUUGUGAGGAAAUAUACAGUGCUUUCCCCACAUGAUUAAGCUUUAUUACAAAGUUAAAUUCUAACCAACUCAAUAUGAAGAAAAAAUAAAUUAACGAAGAUAAUUUUGGAAAAAAAUAUUACAAAAAAAGAAAAUACAAAAGAAAUUGAAAAAAAACCACGUGAGGAAAAAUUGUAUCAAUCCAUAAUGUUUUGUGAGGGAAAACUUGUAUUUACUUAUAAUUACAAUUCUUAACCAGCUUAAUAUUUAAAAAAUAAAAUUAACAAAGAUAAUUUUAGGGAAAAAUAUAACAAAGCAGAAAAAAACUAUGUGGAAAAAAACAUUGUAGCAUCCACAGUAAUUUGUAAAGAAAGUUACAGUGAUUUCCUCACAUAUUGUAACUGUAAUUUUUAACUAAUUCAAUAUUAAAAAAUAAAAUAAAAAAAGAUAAUUUCAAAGAAAAUAAAAAAAAUCAUGUGGAGAAAUAAUGUAGCAAUCAACAAUGUUUUAAAGAAAAAAAAUUACAAAACUAAAUUUUUAAUUAGCUCAAUAUUAAAAAAAAUCGACAAAUAUAAUUUAAAAAAAAAAAAUAGAAAAACUAUGUAAAAAAACACCAUAGCAAUCCACAAUAUCUUUUUUAAAAAAUUUUAAAAUAAAAUUUUUAACCAGUUCAAUAUUUAAAAAGUAAAAUUAAUUCAAAAUUACACACAAUCUAUUCAAAUAAAUCCGUAGAUGCCUUUUCCUUUUUCCUUUUAUAUAUAUUUAUUUAUUGUGAAGAAGAAGAAGAAGAAAAAGAAGUCGUCUUGAAGGAUGAAGGAGAGAGCAAGAGACGGGGGAUGGGCCAAUCCUCUUCUUCAUAUUGACGGGGACGACGACUUGACCUUAAGUACUCUUCCUGGCGAGUGAUAGGGCAGCGUGUUCGGGAAGCUGAGUUCAGAAAUUACGUGUUUCUUUUUACAUGCUUCCUUCCAGCUCAUUACACACAAUCUAUUCAAAUAAAUCGGCAGAUGCCUUUUCCUUUUUCCUUUUAAAGGGAUCACCGGCCAUCGGUGUUGUUGGAACAUAAACAAUUGAACAUUGGAAGAAAUAAAUAAUUUUCCCGUGCUUAAAUUACGGCAACUAUUCUUUUCAACUACGGCCAGACAUGACAGGGCUUUAGUAGAAUGCCUUUUUUCUUCUUCUUCCUCUGUCUUUUGGAGAAAAGAUGGAGAAGUUUAUUAAAAUUCAUGGCAAGUUUAUUAAAAUUAAUGGAUGCUUUUUCGAAAUUACGUGUUUCCUUUUUCCUUCUAUAUAUAUAUACAAGGAUAUAUAUUAUAUAAUAAGCUAAAGUGGGAUUGUGACAUUUCUGUAUGAUGUAUCUUUGUUGGUGUGUAUAUAUAUACCAACAUAAUUGGUUCUGUUUACUGCUUUAGGCAACAUAAUUGGCAUGCAGCCAUGUAAUUAUAAUUAUUUCUUUUCCUUCCAGUUCAUUACACACAAUCUAUUUAACAGAUGCCUUUUCCUUUUUCCUUAUAUAUAUAUAUAUAUAUAUAUAUAUAUAUAUAUAUAUGCUGUUUGUCUUUUUGGUAUAAAUAAUGUUUUUAUAAUUUUUUUUUAAUAUUUGUAUUUACUAAUAUCAAAAAUAAUUUUUAAAAAAUAAAAAAUAUUAUAUUAUUUUUUUUAAUAAAAAAAUAAGAACUACCUACUACACUUACAGAAGAAACAUUCCAUGUAUUGAGUCUUUGCGCGUGAGAUGACUUUUUUUGCCUCCCAAUAAUUAGCGUUAUUUGUAUUAUAACUUUUUUAAUAUUUCAAAUGGAUUAGCUAUUCCCUUGGCUUGGCGUAUUAGCACUUUAGGAUCUUUUGUUAUUUUCUCUUCAACUUUUUUAUUAUAUAUUUUCUUUACACAGCAAACACUUAUGUCCCCGUCAUUCUUUAAGUACAUUAACUAGUAUAUCGGCAUGCGAUUCACAGCAGGGUUAAUAUUAAUCUUUUUAAAAUUAAAAUAGCAAUCAUGUCAGCCUCAGCAUUUUGCAUCUAGAAUAGUAAAAGUCUAGAAUAAUAUAUAUAUAAUGUGAAGAAGAAGAAGAAGAAGUCUUGAAGGAGAGAGGAAGGGACGGGGAUGGGCCAAUCCUCUUCUUGAUGCUCGGGCAAUAAUAACCAUGUUGAUGGGGACGACGACGACUUGACCUUAGUCUUCCCGGCGAGUGCUUGGGCAGCGUGUUCGGGAAUCUGAGCUGCCUUGACAUUACGUGUUUUCUGGAAAUUAUGUUUUUUUGUCUUAACGGUGGCUUUCGAUAAUGUUCAUAUUUAUAGGAGAUAAAUCAAAUUUUAAACGUUUUGAAGCACUUAGGAAUGAUUUAAAUAUUUUAAAAGUAAAAUUUUUAAAACAAGGAUUCCUGAGUGUUUCUAUUUUUUAAUAUUUUGAUAGCAUAGUAAAAUGAUUAUCUUAUUUUAAAAUUAAAAAUUUAAAAUUUUCAAAUUCAAGUAUUUUCUCGGGAUAUUAUAAAAAAAUUUAUUUUAUAUUUUUAAUUAAAAAAUAAUUAAAUAUUUUUACCUUCAUAUUAUAUUAUAAUGGUAUGAUAAUUUGAUUGAGAAGAACUUAUAGAAACUGGUUAAUGAUUGUUUUUUAAAUGUUUUUUUCUUAUAAAUAUAUUAUAUUAAAAUAAUAUAUUUUUAUUUUUAAAAUUUUAUUUUUUAUUUCAACACAUCAAAAUAAUAUAAAAAUAAAAAUAAUAAUAAUUUAAAAUAAAAAAAUAAAAAAACUCAAAUUCAAAUAUUUUCUUAGUACAUUACAGAGGGUUCAAUUAUUGACAUCCUAGAAAUUUUAUUAACCACAAAAGGCUUCAUCUCUUCUUAUUAUUAUUAUUAUUUUGUAAUUUGGUAGGGAAAGGCAUCAAGUCUUCCAUCCUAGUGUUGCGUGUAAAAGAAAUAAUAAUAAUAAUAAAAGUGUUUGCGCGUAAACUUUGUUGAAUUUCACAUUAUAAUAUAAUGGUUAUUAUGAUUUCAUUGGGAAGAACUUGUUACUCUGCCCUAAUUAUAGGAUUUAAAAAAAAAUGAUACUAUUAAAGAAAUAAUAUGGUUUAAUUUAUUUUUUUUUAGAAAAAACAACAUAUUUUUUAAAAACCUGCUAUUUUAAAUCAUGAUUUUAAUAUAACCGUGAUUUUGCAAAAUCACAAUCUAUCCAAAUAAUUUGGCAGAUGCUUUUAUAUAUAUAUAUAUAUUGAAGAAGCUGAGUUGCCUUGACAUUGAGUAUUUCCUGGAAAGUACGCAUUUCUUGUCUUAACGGUGGCUUUCGAUAAUGGUCAUAGCACUUUCGGUUUGUUUUUGACCGAAAGAGGAAAGAAAUUUUUGACCGAAAAAUGAACACAGUUUACAAUAACUGGUGAUUUUUGGGCUUGUUUUUUACCCUCACCGACUACACAUACCAUGCAAUGAUGAUAUAAGAACCUGGAAAUAAACCCAGUAAGCUUUCAAAGUCCAGGUCUUUAAAAUUAGAAAAAUAAUCUUCAUGUAAACUCAGCAUAUGAAAAUAAUAAGAGAAGGAUAAGAAGAAGAAGAGGAAACCUGCUAAGUGGUCGUAGAAACCAACAACUUGAAGGUGUUUGCCAUCUCUUGGAGUAUGGCUAUCAGCAGGAACAAUUCUGUAAAAUGCCCUGUUUUUGCAUCCCAGUCUAGCUAAACGAAUCUUCACCGCCAUUUUCUCUUUAUUUCGAGUGUAUGUUUUUGUAUAGUCUAGAGACAUGAUUCCACAAAGAUGUGUAUAUGGUUAACUAGAACUACUCAUGCUGUUUACAUCAGGUCUUCAUUAAUCAUCAAUCCAUGAUUGAGAAAUAUCUAUUGCUUACCAUGCAAAUGUCCAAUGCAUGCUUUACUUAUUGUUGUAACCCAAUUUUGACCCACUUAUUGUUAAAUUAAUUUUAAGGAGGGUAAAUCUUGAAAAUUAAAAGACCAGGGGUUUGAAUGCAAGGAUUUAGAAACUUCAAGGACCAGAUUGGAAAUAACCAUUCUCAGCCCCAAAACAGCACCGUUUCAAUCAGGUGAUGUCCGUCAUCUUCGUCUCCAAAGCACCGAACGUCCGCCUGCAAAGAAGGAAACGAAAGUGUGAAACACCAGUAUCCUAGCCCAUUCAAAAUACAGAAAAGCAAUAUUUAUCUUCACGAUAAUUACAACCCGACGAGAUAAAGAUUGCACUUCGCAUCCGAGUCCUAGUAGGAACCGUCUCCCUCAGCCGUGCUUAUCAAGAGGAGAGACGUGAGGCUGAGGGAGAGGAGGAUUGAUCCCUAUAAAUACCCAACAAUUGACAACCCCCAGGGGAAGAGGGGGAGAAGGAGAAAGGGAGAAAAAACCGAGUAAAAAAGCCAGAGCAAAACAGAGCAUAAAAAUCACAGAGAGGAAUCAGUUCGGCCUUUGCCUUCAUCCUUACAUAAAACGACCAAAAAAAUCAAUACCCACAGAAGCCAGCAGCUUCGUUCUCGUUUCUGAAAACAGAGGGAAAGAGAUCAGCCAGGUGAAAGUCAUCAAUAGUCGUUCCAGCCCGAGCUUCGCCAUCGUCUCCAACGCUUCUAAUAGAACAGGUACACUCUGUUUCUUCUUCUUUUGUCACAAUUAAAUGGUAUUUUACACGAGGCAAGUGAAUUAAUUCACUUGCACAGUGUAAUUCACUAGCCCAGCCAGGCCACCGGCUUGGGCCAGUGGCCAGGCUGGGUUGGCUGGGUCUAGCCUAGCCCAUGUGGGCUGAGCUAGGCCCAGCCCAAAAAUGUAUAAAAAAAUAUAUAAAAAUUGUGUAUAAAAAAAAUAUGAAUUUAUUGUUUUUUUUAUUUAUUCUUUGACUUCAAAUUCAGAAUAAAAAUACCCAUUCAAAUUUAUUUCAUUGUAUUUUAAUAAGUUAUAUAAAAUAAAAAAUGUGUGAACCAAUAAUAAUAAUAAUAAUAAUAUAAGAUAAAAUAAAAUAAAUUUAUUUGGCAUAUUCACUGACGCCAGAGUCAGGAAUAAAAAAAUACUAAUGUAAAUUUAUUUUAUUUUAUUUUAUCUUGUUUUUAUUUAGCUACAUAAAAAAUAAAAAUGCGUAUGCGUAAAAAACAAAUAAAUUGAUUUUUACUUGUUUAUUAACUAAUGCCAGAGUCAGGAAUACAAAAAAUGAUGAUUUAAAUUUAUUUACUUUGAUACCUACGUAAUAUUUACCAACGCCAGAGUUGGAAAUAUCCGUAGUUGAAUAAUAUAAGAUAAAAUAAAAUAAAUUUAUUUGGCAUAUUCACUGACGCCAGAGUCACGAAUAAAAAAAAUACUAAUGUAAAUUUAUUUUAUUUUAUUUUAUCUUGUUUUUAUUUGGCCACCAAAAAAUAAAAAUAAUGCGUAAUAUUUUAUUUACUUUGAUACCUACGUAAUAUUUACCAACGCCAGAGUUGGAAAUAUCUGUAAUUGAAUAUUCACUGGCGCUAGAGUCAGGAAUAUUACGCGCAAACAACCAUAGUAUAAACCAACAAAAUGUUAGCAAUUAAUGAUAAAUAUUAGCAAUGCAGCCUGCCUUAGGCAGGACGUUUAAUGGGUGAUAAUAUCUUCCCUUUUACGUAACCAGUCUCGGACCAUAUAAUCUCUGCUGACCAGUUAGGGUUCCUAGUAACCGUAAUACUAGGUGGCGACUCCUUAAACAAAGAAUAUCCCAUUUAAAGAAUAGGAUGUCAGAAAUUCGUUCUUUUCAAAAACUUAAUUUUUAAGGCUGCCGCGAUGUCGGGUGCGACAGAAUGGCGACUCCACUGGGGAUCUAAGACUAAGCUUUGUCUUUAUUUGUUAAAAUUGCUACAAAUUCUUGUUGUGUUGUUUGUUUAUUUUUUGUUUAUUUUUUAUUUAUUUUGUUUUUUUGGUUUAUUUUAUUUAUUUAUACGGCUUUAGCAUCCAUAUUUAUUCAUGUCAUCAUAUAUAUUGGAUAUGCAUUGAUGCCUUCACACACCACGCAUUUCAUAAUAAAUAUCUGUUAUAUAAACUUUAUGUUAAGUGGGAGAGUAGCGGUACCCCAAUGGUUUUAGCCUGGGUAAGACUCGUGAAACCAUCCAACUUUCGCUUAAUUGUUUACUCGAUAGUGGUUGAUAUGCCUAAACUGAUAUUACUCAGGGCCUCUAUCUUCACGCUACUUGUAAGCCUCAUAUCAACCUUUCGAGGAAGAUCAUUGAGCAUGUGAAAGACCUUUCAAAGACUAGAUAGCAACCUACCCUGAGCAUUUAAUAACUAGAACUUACCCUUUAGGUUGUUUCCUAUGUAAGUUUCACUAAGCAAAGGUGUAACAUAUAUCAUUUCAUUACAGGAUUAUUAUUUCUGGGUGACAUAAUGGUUGUUAAUAGAGAAGUCAACACUGUUGAGUAUGGGCUUGAAUCUGAAUCAUUGCAUAUGACUGAGGGAGAUUGCCCUAGACUGGAUGAUAGUGGGAUACCGCUGCUAAAAGAUGUGAGAUGUGUAAUAAAUGAUGCCAUUCGUUUACUUCCACUCACCAAAUACUUGGCUGAUGUGACAGAAUUUACUAAGAUGUAUGAGAGAGUUUUGCAUCUUCUAAAUGUGCCAGUAUUGCCAUUGGCCAUAAGAGCUCUGAUUCAUUUUUGGGAUCCUGAUUAUCGAUGUUUUACAUUUGGGGAUGUCGAUAUGGUUCCUACCAUUGAAGUAUGGUGUUUUGACAGAAUUUCCUGAGGAUAUACAUAAGGUUACUUUCAUCAAAGACUUGAGGAUACUAUAGAGGAGCUUGCUAAGUAUUGGGAAUCCAGCAAAUGAGUUUGUAUAGAGAAAAAAAUAAUUCGGGGGUUUGAGAUGGAAACGGCUAGAAGAGUUGUUGAUUGCUAAAAAGUCUAAUCCAUGUGCUAAAGUAGAAGUAUACAGAAUAUUGGCUUUGGGAAUAUUUGGGUUGAUUUUGUGCCCUUCAUCUGUUGGAAUUGUUAGUUUAGAGGCAGCUAAUUUGUUUGUUAAGUAUGAGAAGACCAAAAUUAAUCCUUCUGCUGUGAUCUUGGCUGAAACUUUUUUGUCCCUCAAUCAUUGCAAAAAGACUGGAAAAGGUUCUAUGAGAUGUUGUGUUCCAUUAUUAUUCAUUUGGAUGGUAAGUCACAUAGAAUCCAAGACACCAAUAUUCCGGAAUUUUUGGUGGUUUGAUCAAAGGCCACUCGAAUUAUUUGUAUCAAAUGAAAUGGAAAUUUUUUUCUGAAGAUGACUGGAGGAUAAAACUACAAGGAAUUCCACGAAGCAAUUUUAAUUGGAGAGCUCCUUGGAUGAGAAAUGUAACGUACUUAAUGGGUUGUGGGAAGAAGCCUUGGGUACCUUUGAUUAGAGUGACUGGAUAUAUUAGCUAUGCGCCUGCUUUAGUUGCAAGAAAAAUUAAAGACCGUACAACUUAUGGGAAACCAAAAAAUGAUAAAGCAACAUAAUCAAACAUUGGAUGAUGCCAAUAACUUUUUGUCUAGAAACAACUUGAUGCAUACUGAGAGGAUAGAGGAACUACAAGAUCAGAUUAAUCGAGCAGCUGCAGAAGCCCAUUUAUUACGAGUGGAAGCUCGUCAAUUGGGAGGAGAUAUAAUGAAAUAUCGAAGGAGCAUGGAUAACACCGAUCUUUUUUUGAAAGCAAUAGCUACUAGAGGCAGUGUUUUUUCUCCUGUAAUAGAUUAGAUUAAUUUUUACUGUAAGUUUCUGAAUAAGUAAUAAGAGGGCUGAGACCCAUAUUUUUCAAUGCAAAGAUAUGUGUAUAUAGCUGAAAGCCCAAAUGUCAAAAAGCUAAGCAGAUUUCUUCUCGGCAUCGCAACAAUGAUAUCAAGUUCAAGUUCAACCCAUAUAUCCAAAGAAUGACGGCCAUAUGUCACCAACAAAAGCGAAUCUAUAUCCAAUAUGUGGCAUUCACAUUCAUGCAUCACAUACAUUUGCUUAUAGAUUGUCAUAUUCUGCAUAUAACAGGUGAAAUAUAGGUCCCCAACCUAAACGUAUUCAUAAUACUCGUUCACGAAAGAAAAUGGAAAAUGAAGAGAGAAAUCAGUUAGAAAUUCAACACCAAAGAGAGUUGGAAAGCCUGAAAGAGGAUGUAGCAAGGCUUACCAGCCUGCUUGAACAGGCUUUGAGGCCUAGAGUUGGAGAAGGGACAUCUUCUCAACAAACAUUUACACCUCAACCUCCGCCAUUUGAACCUUAACAUGCUGCUCCUUUCGCACCUGCUCAAGCAGCACAUCCAAUGAGGGUCCCCCACACUGUGUUGAUAGAAGAAGAACCUCAAAGGAACAAGAUCGUAGAGGAAAAUGGUCAGGAAAAACUAGCUGCUUUAGAAGAAAGAAUGAAGGCAAUAGAGGGGAAUAGUUUGUAUGAUCCGGUAAAGGCUGCUGAAAUGUGUUUAGUGCCUAAUGUGGUUAUUCCCAGAAAAUUCAGAGUUCCAGAAUUUGUUAAAUAUACUGGAACUCAAUGCCCAAUCACCCAUCUUAAAGCAUACUGUAAUAAGAUGGCUGAAGUAGUCCAUGAUGAGAAGUUAUUGAUCCAUUUCUUUCAGGAUAGUUUAAGUGAUGCUGCUCUUGCUUGGUAUAUGCGUUUGGAUAAUACCAAGAUUAAAGGAUGGAAGGAUUUGGUUGAAGCUUUUAUUAGACAGUAUAAGUUCAACAUGGAUAUUGCCCCAGAUAGAUCAAGUCUGCAAGCCAUGGAAAAAGGCAAUAAAGAGUCUAUAAGAGAAUAUGCUCAAAGGUGGCGUGAAUCAGCCGCACAAGUAAAUCCUCCAUUGUCAGAAAGGGAGAUGACUGGUUUAUUUUCCAACACUUUCAAAACCCCGUACUUUGAAUACUUGGUGGGUAGUGCUGCACAAAAUUUAUUUGAUUUGGUUGUCAUAGUUGAAAGGAUCGAACAAGCUGUUUGGACGGGUAGGAUUGUGGAUCCUACUGAAAAAAGAGGUUUUAUUGGAAAAAAAAAGAAGCGGAAGUUCACAAUAUUGAAAGGGAAAGUAGAGUGAAGAACACUUACCUAGAUAAUUACAGAUCCAAAAGUAUUACACCUACCCCCUCUAUAUCCAAUAUAAAAUUCUCUUCACCUACAAACACCCAAAAUAACCCAAUAAACAACCAAACCAAUAAUGCCUACCGCCCGAGAAGAAAUUUUCCAAUACAUCAAGUGCAGCUUCCACCAUUACCCAUGUCUCUUACUGAAAUGCACCAAAGAUUGCUUAGUAUUGGUCAGGUAGCACUUGUUCCCUUAGAACCUUUACAACCACCAUUUCCCUUUUGGUAUAAACCCGAUCAAAAAUGUGAAUACCAUGCUGGUGUUGUUGGUCAUCAUAUUGAUGGAUGUGUUGCAUUCAAAGGAAAAAUCCUUCAGCUCAUCAAAGCUGGGUGGAUUUCUUUUGAUGAGUCUCCAAAUAUGAAUUUUAACCCUCUACCAAAUCAUGCUUCUGGAGUUGGGGGAGUUAAUAGCUUGGAGAUAGGAAAGGGAGGUACAACAACUUUAAGGGUGACUAUGGAUAGAUUGUAUGGGAUGUUAAGGCAAACAGAUUAUCUAAAGACACCAGUCAAAAUACAAGCUGUAAGGAAUGCGAAUGAAUAUUGUAAAUAUCAUCAGCAGCUUGGGCAUGAUAUUGACUCGUGCGAGGAGUUUCAUUUAGAGGUAGAAAAUAUAAUGGCGUUGGGAAUGUUAAGAUUGAUGAAACCCAAAGAAGAUGAGUUAGUAGGAACAAUGACUGGUUGUAACAAAAAAGUGGAAGUUUAUAGAUAUAUACCAACCGAAAAGGGUCCACCAAAAAUGAUCCUAACCAAGCCUAUAAAUACUGUUAACGGAAGCUAUAAUGCCCAACCCUAUAAUUAUGGUUAUUCUUUUCACAGCACAAAUCCUGCCCCUGUUUUCCAUGCUGAAAUAGGGGGACUCACUCGGAGUGGGAGAUGUUUUACUCCUGAAGAGUUGGAAAACCAUAGAAAAGCCAAAGGAAAGGACAUGGUGGAAUUGGCCAGGCUGGGUUGGUUGGGUCUAGCCCAGCCCAUGUGGGCGGAGCUGGGCCCAGCACAAAAAUGUAUAAAAAAAUAUAUAAAAAUUGUGUAUAAAAAAAAUAUGAAUUUAUUGUUUUUUUAUUUAUUCUUUGACUUCAAAUUCAGAAUAAAAAUACCCAUUCAAAUUUAUUUCAUUGUAUUUUAAUAAGUUAUAUAAAAUAAAAAAUGUGUGAACCAAUAAUAAUAAUAAUAAUAAUAAAAUAAGAUAAAAUAAAAUAAAUUUAUUUGGCAUAUUCACUGACGCCAGAGUCAAGAAUAAAAAAAUACUAAUGUAAAUUUAUUUUAUUUUAUCUUGUUUUUAUUUAGCUACAUAAAAAAUAAAAAUGCGUAUGCGUAAAAAACAAAUAAAUUGAUUUUUACUUGUUUAUUCAUUGACGCCAGAGUCAGGAAUACAAAAAAUGAUGAUUUAAAUUUAUUUACUUUGAUACCUACGUAAUAUUUACCAACGCCAGAGUUGGAAAUAUCCGUAGUUGAAUAAUAUAAGAUAAAAUAAAAUAAAUUUAUUUGGCAUAUUCACUGACGCCAGAGUCAGGAAUAAAAAAAUACUAAUGUAAAUUUAUUUUUAUUUUAUUUUAUCUUGUUUUUAUUUGGCCACCAAAAAAUAAAAAUAAUGCGUAAUAUUUUAUUUACUUUGAUACCUACGUAAUAUUUACCAACGCCAGAAUUGGAAAUAUCUGUAGUUGAAUAUUCACUAGCGUCAGAGUCAGGAAUAUUACGCGCAAACAACCAUAGUAUAAACCAACAAAAUGUUAGCAAUUAAUGAUAAAUAUUAGCAAUGCAGCCUGCCUUAGGCAGGACGUUUAAUGGGUGAUAAUAUCUUCCCUUUUACAUAAUCAGUCUCGGACCAUAUAAUCUCUGUUGACCAGUUAGGGUUCCUAGUAACCGUAAUACUAGGUAGCGACUUCUUAAACAAAGAAUAUCCCAUUUAAAGAAUAGGAUGUCAGAAAUUCUUUCUUUUCAAAAACUUAAUUUUUAAGGCCGCCGCGAUGUCGGGUGCGAUCCUUAUACUAUAUUUAUGUUGUGGACAAAAUUUUGCUGCAGCAUCUUAUGCAUUGCUAGGUUAGUACAUUUUCUUCCUCAUAAGCAGGCUCUCUGUUACUUUUCAAGAACAACUCCCUAAAAUGUCGAAGAGUUUGAAAUACUUCAGCAGUAUUAUAUGGAAACAAUGAUAUAAAUUCUGGUUUUCUUUAUUUAUUUUUUCCUUUUCUUUGUUGUUGCUUUCCUCACAUUCUUCUUGCCAAACUGUUACUAUCGUUGGCUUUAGACAGGUAUACUCUUAUUUGUUAUAGUGUUUGAUCAAUGUUUCUUUCACACACAGAGAUGUUGAUUUCUAAGCUGAUAAUGGUUAAAAAACCAAAACAAAAAAAAAAACUUCACUCUUUUCUGAUAUUGCACUAGUACUAAGAUCCUUUGAUGUAUUCCAUAAAAAUAGCAUGCAUUCGACCAUUAAGCUAGAUCCCCUUUGAUGGAAAGUUUUAUGUCAUUGUUAAAUUUAGUGUAGUAAACCUUGAGUUUCUCUAAUUAUUGGUUUCUCACACUCCACCAGACUAUUUAUCGACUGGUUGCUUCUUACAAUGGCCCCAUAAGUCUUUUGUCCUGCAUGUAUUCAUGGUGUAAUUUGGUAAAUCAUAAUGGAAACUUAGAUUCUGCACAAUGCUAAAUGCCAUUUCUAGUAUGUUAUGAGAAGUAGUUAUGAGACACUUGUCAUAACCCAAUUUUUGAUCAUUUUAUUUUAAUUAUUAUUAUUAUUUUAUUUACUGAAAAUGAUAAAAAAAAAUGAUGAUGAAAAAAUAAUAAUGAUGAAAAAAUAAGUAAAAUGAAAUAAAGGAAGAAUGAAUUAAAAUUUGGGUUAAUGGCAAAAUGAUUGAAAGUUUUGGGGUUUAAUUAAACUUUGAAAUUAAUCUAAUUAAGCUUGAAAUUAAUUUAAUUAAUCCAAUUAAGGGUUUUAUUGGAGAAUUGAUAAGUUUUGAGACUUAAUUGAGCUUGGAAUUAAUUUAAUUUAUCCAAUUAAGGGUUUAAUUGGAGAAUUGAUAAGUUUUGAGACUUAAUUAAGCUUGGAAUUAAUUUAAUUAAUCCAAUUAAGGGUUUAAUUGGAGAAUCGAUAAGUUGUGAGACUUAAUUGGACUUUGGAUUUAAUUAAAUUAAUGAAAUUAGGGACUUAAUUGAAGAAUAUCAAAGUUUAGAGUUUAAUUGGGGUCCAAAUUGCAAAACUUAAAAUCCAAGGACCAGCUUGAAAAUGGCGCGGAAAUACAAGGAUCCAAUUGCAUUUUAUCCAGGGGCUUGAUUGCAUGAUUUCAGAACUUAAAGGACCAAAAUGCAAAUGGCCAUUAAACACAGCACUGUUCAUCGCCUUCUUCUUCAGGAGCCGUUUCUGGCAGUAAUGGCCUUGAAGUCGUUUCAAAUGGUUGGUAUUCUCUGGCUAUAAAGCCAGAGAAGAUGAGAGAGCGCGGGAGAGAAAAUAACAGAAACAAAGAGAGUGGGGAGGGGGGGAGACAAAAAACAGAGCCACAAACGGCAGAAAUAAGGAGUCACGGAACCGGUGGAAAACAAAUACCCAGAGGAAAGAAAAGGGAGCAGAACCGGGUAGGGAGACUGUACAGAGGGGAGCAGAAUUUGUGCCUUUGUUUUCUUCUAAAAGAGACAGAGGCGCUUGGCGCCAUUCUCUGGUAAGCUAGAGAAGGCCAUAGAGAAGGAAACAAGUAACUCAGGGGGCAGCGCCUUCCCCCCUUCACAACUGAACUCGCAGACGAAGAAGAAAAGGCAUCAGACCACGAAACCCAGGCAAGGAGGAAGAAAACAACGACAAGCACACAGACGAAGAAGGAAAUAAAGAAAGCAAGAACCAGAGGAGUAGACGGAAACAGAAAUAGAGGAAGAACUGAAAAUAAUCGAGGAAGAGACCAAGAACCACAGAAAAAUGGACGACGAACCGUGACCAGAACCAGUGUCACUGCUGCCUUCGGUUUUGCCAGCGCCAGGUAAGUAGCGUUUUCCUUCCUUGCAUUUUAAUUACAUGUUCCUGUAGGUAAAAACAGAAAUAAUGGCCAGCCGGGUCAAGCCUUGACCCGGCUAGGCCUGCUGGGUCCAGCCCAGCCAUGUGGGCUGAGCUGGGCCCAGCCCAAAAAAUUAAUAAAAAAAAUUAAAAAAUUAAAAAAAAAACAGAAAGAUAAAAAACAGAAAAAAAAUAAAAAAUAUGUAUGCAUGAAUAAAAAUAAUAUAAAUUUAUUGGUUUAUUCACUGACGCCAGAGUCAGGAAUAAAAAUACCGGUUUAAAUUUAUAUUAUUUUUAUUCUUUGUAUUUUUUAUUUUGUUUAGCUAAAAAAUAAAAAAUGUGUGCAUGCUUAAAAAAUAAAUUUAUUUUUAUUUAUUUAUUCACUGGCGCUAGAGUAGGGAAUAAAAAAAUAUAUUGAUCUAAUUUUUGUCGUAGCUACGAAUUUUUACCAACGCCAGAGUUGGAAUUAUUCGAGCUCGAAUAUUCACUGGCGCCAGAGUCAGGAAUAUUAUAAACAAAUCAUCACAGCAUAAACUAAUAAACAUUUAGCAAUUUAAGACAAAACCAACAAUGCAGUUUGCCUUAGGCAGAACGUUUAAGGGGUGAUAAUAUCUUCCCUUUUACGUAACCAAUCCCGAAUCAUCGAAUCUCUAUUGACCAGUUAGGGUUCCUAGUGACCAUAAUACUAGGUGGCGAAUCCUUAAACAAGGCAUUUUUCCCUAAAAGAAUCGGAUGCCAGAAAUCUGUUCUUUUUCCAUAAUUCAAGAGAAUUAUUUUUUAGGGCUGCCGCGACGUCGGGUGCGACAACACUCAUCAAUGAGCAUGCUUAUAUCGAAAAUCACAGGCUGACAAUAAAAGCCAUCUAAUACUCUUGUAGCUUGGUUUUGCUCAAAUCUUCUGAAGAAAUCACAGGCUGACAAUAAAAGCCAUCAAGAAAUAUGGAUUGUUGUUCUUGAUCCAACCCAUUGUAACUAAUUCUUUACGUAUUUUUGAUUCGAGGGUUCUGAGCUAGUUUAUUUAAUGCACUGCGCCAUUCUUCGAUGCUUUUACCAUAAAGAGAGGAACCCAUAACUUUAAGAGCCAACGAAUUGCCUUGUACAUGCCUUAUAAUCUGUGCUAUCAAGUGUCUGUGAUCAAUUGUCGGGAUGCAAUUCUUCAAGGCUUUUAAGCUAAAGAGUUGAAGAGCUUCUUCAUCGUUCAACCCCUCAACCUCAUAUAUCUCAUCAACUACAUUAUUAAGCACUUGCUUGUCCCUACUUGUUAUGAGAACUUUACUGCCCGCACCAAAUGAAUUGUGUCGUCCAUCAAGCAAAUCUUUCCAUUCUUCCAAAGGCAUUAAAUCAUCCACAUCAUCCAGAAGAAUAAAAACCUUUUUACGACAAAGUCUAUCCCUCACAAAAGAAUCUCGAAAACUCAAGGAGCCCAUGUUCAGAAUUUCUUGGCCAAGCAGCUGUGAAAGAAAGCUUCUUUGCAAAUCAGCCAUGGAACCAGUUUUUAAUUCUUGCCUAAAGUUUGCAAAAAAGAUUCCUUCAAAUCGAGAACGAACCUUGUUGCACACAACUUGAGCAAUUGUUGUCUUACCGAUACCAUCCAUUCCCCAUAUCCCUACAAUGAGAACAUCUGUAGACUCCAUAUUUAACAAAGACUCAACUUUGUUAACAUGAAAAUCAAUUCCAAAUAAACCCGUAGUAUGACUUGAAGACAUGGCUUGCAAUUUGUUCGAAACAUCUCCAACGAUUUUCUCAAUAAAUUCAGACUCCAACCUGACAAACAAGAAGAACACACAUAAUCGUUAGUCAAAAUGGACCGGACAAGAAGAAACAUAUAAACAUACUCACUCCUAAGUAGCUACAUCUAUACAUAGGAGGCACGUACGAGUAAUUGAGCAUCAUUACUGGCAAUGGAUAGUGCUAAUAUAUGUAACACAUGAAUCAUAGACCUGGACAAGCUUCUUUGACUGGGCCUCUCGAGAGAAUGCAUUUGAGUUCAGAAAUCUAUAGUUAAUCAAUCCUUGAAACUGAAAACUACUUGUAAGUGUAUAUCUAAGAAAAUCAAUGAAAUGCAAAUGCAAAUGCAAAAGAUGUUUUCUCAUAUCAUCAUAUCAUAUAAUCAUUUCAGUUAAAAAGUUUAAGUUGUUAGGAGAAAAUCUCAAAACAUAUGAUUUAUAUUAUUUUUCAAGGAAUGUGAUCUUUUUCACCUCAAAUAAAUAGACUAUUAAUGACCCGAUUUCAAGUGAAACAAUAGAAGAAAACAUUGAUUGCCCUAAUAAAAUUUAACAUAAGGAUUCUUAAGUAUCUUCUUUCUGUCUCCCAAAACUUAAGAUAUGUACAAGUGUUUCGCUACAACGUUUUCAAAAUCAAAUUAAAUAAAUACAGAGAUCAUCAUUGUCAAUAAUUUAAAAUUAAAUUUCAAAUACUCAACAAAAGAACGAAUAUUUUCUCAUGGGAUAUAUUUCAAGAGCUUACUCAGAAUUCCCUAAGGUCCAUCCAGAUAGAGUGGCUGUAUCCUUCAAAGCGUCUCUGAAGCUCUGCUCUUUGUCCAUCGUCAAAGCUUUCUUCUUUAUAAGUCUAGCAAAUGCAUCCCCAAAGCCUCCUGUUUGAUUUAUUACAUGGGAUGGAUCCACCUGGUAGAAUACCGGAAUAACUAUCUGUCCAUUAUUUUUUCUACGCUCAAAAAUCUUUGCAAGCUCCUCCAAGCACCAUUUGGAAGAUGCAUAGUUUUCAGAAAAAACAAUCACAGAAAGCUUGGCCUCUUCAAUUGUUCUCAGAAGUGAUGCCGAGAUCUCAUCUCCUCUCACAAGCUGAUAAUCUAUGAAAGUUAGGAUUUGUUUCCGGUUCAAAGCGGUAUAGAGGUGGCUGGUAAAAUCAAAACGAGUGUCUUCUCCUCUGAAACUAAGGAAGACAUCAUUUUUCAUUCCUUGUGGCUGGGCGGUGGUGAAGGUGGAAGGAGUAGAUGGCGAUGGAGAUAUGUGACGGUUUCGUAUGAUG
rnacentral:lncRNA from 1 species